GACGAACGCUGGCGGCGUACCUAAUACAUGCAAGUCGAGCGAGCGGAACUAACAGAUUUACUUCGGUAAUGACGUUAGGAAAGCGAGCGGCGGAUGGGUGAGUAACACGUGGGGAACCUGCCCCAUAGUCUGGGAUACCACUUGGAAACAGGUGCUAAUACCGGAUAAGAAAGCAGAUCGCAUGAUCAGCUUUUAAAAGGCGGCGUAAGCUGUCGCUAUGGGAUGGCCCCGCGGUGCAUUAGCUAGUUGGUAAGGUAAAGGCUUACCAAGGCGAUGAUGCAUAGCCGAGUUGAGAGACUGAUCGGCCACAUUGGGACUGAGACACGGCCCAAACUCCUACGGGAGGCAGCAGUAGGGAAUCUUCCACAAUGGACGCAAGUCUGAUGGAGCAACGCCGCGUGAGUGAAGAAGGUUUUCGGAUCGUAAAGCUCUGUUGUUGGUGAAGAAGGAUAGAGGUAGUAACUGGCCUUUAUUUGACGGUAAUCAACCAGAAAGUCACGGCUAACUACGUGCCAGCAGCCGCGGUAAUACGUAGGUGGCAAGCGUUGUCCGGAUUUAUUGGGCGUAAAGCGAGCGCAGGCGGAAGAAUAAGUCUGAUGUGAAAGCCCUCGGCUUAACCGAGGAACUGCAUCGGAAACUGUUUUUCUUGAGUGCAGAAGAGGAGGGUGGAACUCCAUGUGUAGCGGUGGAAUGCGUAGAUAUAUGGAAGAACACCAGUGGCGAAGGCGGCUCUCUGGUCUGCAACUGACGCUGAGGCUCGAAAGCAUGGGUAGCGAACAGGAUUAGAUACCCUGGUAGUCCAUGCCGUAAACGAUGAGUGCUAAGUGUUGGGAGGUUUCCGCCUCUCAGUGCUGCAGCUAACGCAUUAAGCACUCCGCCUGGGGAGUACGACCGCAAGGUUGAAACUCAAAGGAAUUGACGGGGGCCCGCACAAGCGGUGGGGCAUGUGGUUUAAUUCGAAGCAACGCGAAGAACCUUACCAGGUCUUGACAUCUAGUGCCAUUUGUAGAGAUACAAAGUUCCCUUCGGGGACGCUAAGACAGGUGGUGCAUGGCUGUCGUCAGCUCGUGUCGUGAGAUGUUGGGUUAAGUCCCGCAACGAGCGCAACCCUUGUUAUUAGUUGCCAGCAUUAAGUUGGGCACUCUAAUGAGACUGCCGGUGACAAACCGGAGGAAGGUGGGGAUGACGUCAAGUCAUCAUGCCCCUUAUGACCUGGGCUACACACGUGCUACAAUGGGCAGUACAACGAGAAGCGAGCCUGCGAAGGCAAGCGAAUCUCUGAAAGCUGUUCUCAGUUCGGACUGCAGUCUGCAACUCGACUGCACGAAGCUGGAAUCGCUAGUAAUCGCGGAUCAGCACGCCGCGGUGAAUAUGUUCCCGGGCCUUGUACACACCGCCCGUCACACCAUGGGAGUCUGCAAUGCCCAAAGCCGGUGGCCUAACCUUCGGGAAGGAGCCGUCUAAGGCAGGGCAGAUGACUGGGGUGAAGUCGUAACAAAGUAGCCGUAGGAGAACC
rnacentral:rRNA from 1 species